AGAAAGAAAGAAAGAGAGAAAAGAAAGGGAGAAAGGAGAGAGGAAAGAAGGAAGAACAUUAAGAUUUUUAGGAAAAUGUGUGUGUGUGUGUGUAUGUGUGUGUGUGUGUGUUUGAACUCAAUACAAAGGUCUCUUCUGGGUCUAUAUUAAUGGUUCCAUGAUCUUCACUAUUAUUGAAUUGAAGCCUCACCACUACUCUCUAUAUGAGGUGACUGGAUAGUGCUUGGAGUCAAGAAGUCCAGUUCAAAUCCAGACUCAGAUACCUAGUAGCUGUGUGUCCCUGGCCAAGUCACUUAACUUCUCUUUCCCUCAGUUUCCCCAUCUAUAAAAUGGGGAUGAUACUUUCUAACUCUG
rnacentral:lncRNA from 1 species